CUUCACUUUCAGGGCAUUCUUCGUGGCUCGAAGCUCUGGAAACAACACAAAAAUAUCUGAUAUUUUUCAUGUGAAAUGCUGCAGCCACAAACCUGAGCUCUUCGAACGAAAACGUAAUCUCGACUUUUCAAAGGAUACUACAGAAUUUUUGAAAAGAUUCAUGUUUUAAAAGGGUUCAGAAAUGGAGUACUUGAAUUGGGUUGGUUAAUCUAAUCUGAUGGAGUGAUGGUAUGCACUGCAAAAAGAAACUAAAACGGAUAGACCCAGAUCACUUACUGGAAAUUUUGUGACCCAGUGAACGACUUCGCUGCCACAUUCUGACGACUUGUCAAUGAUAUCCAGAG